CUCAUCGGCAUUACCUGGCUGUCUCCAACUAUCUCUGUAUUCCAGAGAACAAAACAUUUUUCCUAACAUAAAUCAGCUCCCAGUCAAUACAGACUAAUGUUUUUGAAAAGACUCCUAUGAAAGUGCUCCAAGGAUACACCACCAUCUGUUUCUAAUGUUCAAAUAUAAUUUGGAUAGUUUAGAAGCUAUAAUUUAAAAAAAAGACACCGCAAUCACUGCACAUUCACAGGGUCAUGUGCCAAAGACCCUGUGUGAACAUCCAGGCGGUCCCUGCAGCAGGCUCCCCUGGAACCACCACGCGCACACGUGGACGUCCUGUAAGUGCGACACCGGAAAGGGAAGUUGUAGCUCCGCUCUGAU
rnacentral:lncRNA from 1 species